GGCUCGAACCCGCGAACCGUGAGAUCAUGACCUGGGCCGAACUUGGACAAACAGACUGAGCCCCACAGGCACCACCAAAGCAGGACCCUAAACCUUGCGGUGGAACAAGGGUAUCAGAGGCAGAACCUGGGAAGGAGGGGCCAGACCCAGCUGGCGUGCAUGACCCCCACCUGCUGGGGACGGGCAGGGGCUCGUAGGUCUGACCCAGGAGGGGUCCGAGACCAGCCGGGCCCGCAGGGUGGACAUUGCCAAGUCCCUUAACUUUGCACACGCUCAUCUUCCUGGUUCAGAAAACGAAGAUGGUGGCCGUUUGGACACAACUGAUAAAAGACAGCGGGCCUGUCGCCCACGAAGUGAGGAUCUGUUGCCGCCCACCCUGGUUUGUAUGUGCAAAGCCCCAGGUUUCCAGACCCGCGUGUAUAGAUGCUGUCCCCGGUGUUUGUCAUUUGUGCACCGAAAUAACAAAACGCUCGCAGGACAGUUUAUCCCCCCAAACAAAUACGGUUUCCAACAUUGAGUCAAGGACGAGGUUUUACAAACCCCUGUGCUCGUCUUCUGCAUCAGAGCCGACUGGGAAAGAGAUCCGUGUAGAUCGGGUGCCGAGAAAGCGGUAGGAGCGCCUGGUUUCACUUUCUAACCCAUUCAGCUUGGUCUGGAGAAGCGGUUUCCUCUCUGGGUGGGGCACCGAGGACCUGAACGCCCGCUGUGUCCCGACACAGGUGCCCAGGCCCCUGCGGGGGAUCCGCGUGAGGGAGACUGGAGGGGGUGAGAGGGGUGGCACCCUCCCGCGGCCCCAGGACGGAAGCGGGAGCCGGGAUGCACCCUGGGGCCGUCCAGAGCGGGGCUCCGGACCCCCAGGGACCCCCGCCCCCCACCCCAGGCCUGCACUCUGUCACAUGUCGGUCCAGCGUACAGAGCUCUCAGCCUUCCUUCUCCCCAGAGGAGAAACGGGGGCCGCUAUGGACUGAGGGGGGCGGGAUGAGGGGACCCAGCCUGAGCCCGGGGGGCACGAAAUCCCACCCAGUUAAAACCUGCUGCCUGAGAGCCCGCAGCCACUCUGCCGUGCGGAGGAACAGCCUGAACCCAAACCCAUCGUCCCUCCCCCCGAGUCACCACCAGAAUCUGCUGGGUCGGGCGGGCAGCCUGGCAGGGGACAUUCGGGCACAUUUCCGGGCCGUGUGCUCCGACUGGCCUCAGGGGACAUCAGGGGAGCAAGAGGUAGACUGUCUCCACGUCCGCCUCGGCGGGGGGGGGGGGGGGGGGGGGGGGGGCGCUGCUUGAACUGGGCUGAGAGAGCGGCUUGUCGCUUGUGUUUAUUCUGUGUAGCACCUGCUGCUGGCGGGGAGGGGGGUCAUUUGGCUCCACAAAAUACAACAUGUCACGCGUGAUGGGUCCACCUUUCGGGAUGUUAUCUCGCCUACAAACCCAGCAAACUGAAUCCCACGCUUAGCAUUUCUACCUGU